rnacentral:rRNA from 1 species
GAUGAACGCUGGCGGCGUGCCUAAUACAUGCAAGUCGAGCGAACAGAUAAGGAGCUUGCUCCUUUGACGUUAGCGGCGGACGGGUGAGUAACACGUGGGUAACCUACCUAUAAGACUGGGAUAACUUCGGGAAACCGGAGCUAAUACCGGAUAAUAUUUCGAACCGCAUGGUUCGAUAGUGAAAGAUGGUUUUGCUAUCACUUAUAGAUGGACCCGCGCCGUAUUAGCUAGUUGGUAAGGUAACGGCUUACCAAGGCGACGAUACGUGGCCGACCUGAGAGGGUGAUCGGCCACACUGGAACUGAGACACGGUCCAGACUCCUACGGGAGGCAGCAGUAGGGAAUCUUCCGCAAAGGGCGAAAGCCUGACGGAGCAACGCCGCGUGAGUGAUGAAGGUCUUCGGAUCGUAAAACUCUGUUAUUAGGGAAGAACAUACGUGUAAGUAACUGUGCACGUCUUGACGGUACCUAAUCAGAAAGCCACGGCUAACUACGUG